GGGGUGGGUGGCUGUUCACCGAACGUCGACGGCCUUCGGGCCCUUCGGGCGGGGGGAGCCAAUGAAUGAAUGAGGUGGGGGCGAUUCUCUCUGGGGUAUUCCGUCGUACAGUGAGUGGGCAAAGUGGGCUACGGCCUUUUGGGUCUGCCGCCGGCGAACGAAGAGAGAGGCAUGUGAUUCAACUGCGGGCUCGACGCCGAGGGCUUUGAACCAAGACGCACAAUGAUG
rnacentral:lncRNA from 1 species